rnacentral:rRNA from 1 species
GAGUUUGAUCUUGGCUCAGGAUGAACGCUGGCGGCGUGCCUAAUACAUGCAAGUCGAACGAACAGAUAAGGAGCUUGCUCCUUUGACGUUAGCGGCGGACGGGUGAGUAACACGUGGGUAACCUACCUAUAAGACUGGGAAUAACUCCGGGAAACCGGGGCUAAUGCCGGAUAACAUGUUGAACCGCAUGGUUCUACAGUGAAAGACGGUCUUGCUGUCACUUAUAGAUGGACCCGCGCCGUAUUAGCUAGUUGGUGGGGUAACGGCCUACCAAGGCGACGAUACGUAGCCGACCUGAGAGGGUGAUCGGCCACACUGGAACUGAGACACGGUCCAGACUCCUACGGGAGGCAGCAGUAGGGAAUCUUCCGCAAUGGGCGAAAGCCUGACGGAGCAACGCCGCGUGAGUGAUGAAGGUCUUCGGAUCGUAAAGCUCUGUUGUUAGGGAAGACAAAUGUGUAAGUAACUGUGCAUAUCUUGACGGUACCUAACCAGAAAGUCACGGCUAACUACGUGCCAGCCGCCGCGGUAAGACC